ACAUCCUUUUGAUGGUGUCGAUCCCACAUCGACGAAGAAUCAUUCGAGUGGAAGGAUAGACAAUGCUUGGCAGUCAGAACACCCUGAAGGUGGU
rnacentral:ribozyme from 1 species